UUAUCAUAUAUCGACGACAAAAUUAUAACAUAACGACUAUACAAAGAAGAUACAAUAAACACUGAUCGUUUCUACAUCAAAAUGUAAAAAUAUAUCUAUACUACCUAAUUGCUUUUUUUUUCUUUAAGAAUUCGUCGACCUAGCUAGUUCUAACUAAUGAGAUCAUAUAUAUUUGAAGAUGUAUUUUUGUAGACCAACAUAAUUAAAAAGUCUUAUUCUUACACAAAAAAGUAGAGCUUAAAUAAAGAAUAUAAUGAACAGUGAGGAGUAGAGAGAAAGAUGUGUCGGUGGUUCUUAUUGGUGGUGGUGAGCACUGCAUCUGUACAUAUAGGUUUUCAAUAGCUCUCUGAGUUCGAAGUCGCCUCCCUCUUAAUCUCUCUUCAGUCUCUGUAAAAACAUUUCUUUGUGUCAUCCUUAAUAAUUCUCGAGAGAGAGAGAGAGUGCAGGUCUGGCAGGGAUAAGGAGCAGCACAGCAGCAGUUAGAGUGAGUGGCGGGAAAAGGAAAGGAAGAAAGAAAGUAAAAGUGACAAAAGAAAGGUUGAUGGAUUUUUGGGACAAGAUGAUCUUCCCUGUCCGCCGUGUCUGGCUUGCCGUCUCUACUCGUGUCAAGGAUCGCAAAAAUGGUGAUGGGCUUUUGAAGCUUCACGAUGACGUACAAACAUGUGGGUAUCAAGAUGUGCAAGUGAUGUGGCAGAUGCUGAGUGGAGACACAGACAACCACCCGCCGGCCAAACGCAAGCACCAAAGACAGAGACCCUUCCGGAGAAUUUUCGAGUGGUCUUCUAACAAUAAUAGUAGUAAAACCUCACCGCUCUCUUCAAAUCAUGCAUGCGCAUAAAAACAAUGAGACUCAUGGGACCCCAAUCAGAUAAUACAUAUAAUAAUAAUGUGCUGCUGUCGCUGCUGCUGUCCAGCAUCUCACAUUAUUGGCAUCAUAUUUUACAGCCAAAUUGUUGCCAACACUUGCAGUGGCACACUACUGUUGUAGGUGUCAAUCGCAGUAUAAGAUGGAUGAAAUACGGCACGACGUAUGUGUAAAUAUAAAUAAUAUUCUCCCAGAAAAAUGAAAGAAAUUAAGAGCCUUCCUAGUCCCUGUAUAAUGUGUACUUGUGGCGAAAAUAACAUUCAGCAUAUAUUACGUA